rnacentral:rRNA from 1 species
UACAGAGGGGGCAAGCGUUGUUCGGAAUUACUGGGCGUAAAGGGCGCGUAGGCGGCCUGUUAAGUCGAACGUGAAAUCCCCGGGCUCAACCCGGGAACUGCGUCCGAUACUGGCUGGCUUGAAUCCGGGAGAGGGAUGUGGAAUUCCAGGUGUAGCGGUGAAAUGCGUAGAUAUCUGGAGGAACACCGGUGGCGAAGGCGACAUCCUGGACCGGUAUUGACGCUGAGGCGCGAAAGCCAGGGGAGCAAACGGG